AUUGAACGCUGGCGGCAUGCCUUACACAUGCAAGUCGAACGGCAGCACGGGAGCAAUCCUGGUGGCGAGUGGCGAACGGGUGAGUAAAGUAUCGGAACGUGCCCAGUCGUGGGGGAUAACGUAGCGAAAGUUACGCUAAUACCGCAUACGAUCUAUGGAUGAAAGCGGGGGAUCGCAAGACCUCGCGCGAUUGGAGCGGCCGAUAUCAGAUUAGGUAGUUGGUGGGGUAAAGGCCCACCAAGCCGACGAUCUGUAGCUGGUCUGAGAGGACGACCAGCCACACUGGGACUGAGACACGGCCCAGACUCCUACGGGAGGCAGCAGUGGGGAAUUUUGGACAAUGGGCGAAAGCCUGACUCAGCCAUGCCGCGUGCAGGAUGAAGGCCUUCGGGUUGUAAACUGCUUUUGUACGGAACGAAAAGGACUGCCCUAAUACGGUGGUCCCAUGACGGUACCGUAAGAAUAAGCACCGGCUAACUACGUGCCAGCAGCCGCAGUAA
rnacentral:rRNA from 1 species